GAGUAUCAUUAUAGGGCUGUUUGCCCCGC
rnacentral:sRNA from 1 species